AAAUGCCUUACAGCUGGGUCUCAUGGAGGCAUUUCCCCAACAGGGACUCCUUUUUCUGUGAAAACUCUAGCUUGUGUCAAGUUUAUAAACAAAACCAGCCAGAACAUGGGGUGUAUACUGUGCUGCCUGUUAAAUGUUAGUAUUCUAAGCAAUGGCAUGGCUGUUGCUAGUUUACACAAGAGGAAACAGAUAAACAAGAUGAGAAGUAGAAGCAGCUCGCUAAUGGCACAUAGUUGGGAAAUGGAAACAGGACCUGAAGCACAGGUGUGAAGAAGCAAAGUCUCUUCUUUAUGGCAACCUCUGUGGGCCAAUCAGGGCAGGCUUGGUGGUGCCACAGUAACAGAUAGCCUGGUAGCCAUCCUAGCCUAUAAUGCAAAGUUUGUUUGUUUGUUUGUUUGUUUAUUUUCAUGGUAUAUAUUCGUCAUGAGUGAACAGAGUUCUCUUUGUGCUCACAGGACCUGGGUGGGUGGAACAUCCACUCUCUGAGGUGUAUUAGUCAUCAUUCCAGAGUGAUAGGGAAACAAAGGCUUAGAGGGUCGUGUAUCUGCAAUGGGAUGCUCUACAUGGAAGUGAUGCAUGCUUUUUCAAUUCAUAACUCCUUGGUCAGAAAUAUUCAAUUAGCUGUCUAAUGCUCACUCCAGCUAUGAUUAAUGGAUAAAGAAUUAAGUAUGUCAUUUCCUGCUGUGAGGUAUUGCCAAAGUUCUAGAAGGUUUGGAAAGCCCCAGAAUAUGAGAGUUUCUUAUUAUCAGAAGGUAGCAAUGGAUACUACACUCGUAGUAAGGAUUACAGUGGAGAUCACACACUAGUUAUCAGGAAACACAUCUAACAGAGUGACUUCGUACAGUACGUGAGUUCGAGACUAGCCAACUCUGCAGUAGUUGGGCAAAUGUUAGAAUCUGGGACCAGUAUGGCUUAUAAACUAUAUUAAAGUCAGUUUAGACAUUUGCCUUGGAUUUUGCCACCCCAGAUCCUACCACUGGUCAAUAGGUCAGUAAAGCGGGACUACUUUACGUGAGAAGUUGGCUUCUUCCCAAGUGUGGUCUCUCAGGUGCACACAGAGGCCUCUCAGAUUGUCCUUUUAUAACAGACCCACUUCAUCGUGAAUCUGUAUAAGCCUGAGUCACAAUGGCACAGAGAGAUCACUUGAAACAUUAAUGAAAACAGGCCAAUCACUCAUUAAAAUGAAAGUGAGUACUGCCACCCCGAGCACCCUGGUUGUCUGUUCAGUUGCAGAAUUUAUGGUGCUACGAUGCGCGGUAUACUGACUCUACAUUCACAGCUGUGAUCCAUUCAGACCGUAGAUGACAUUAAGUGACCCCGAAUACAGUUAGCAUCAUCUCACAUCUCAGACAGAUACUGCAUUUCUCACUCUUACAGAAAAGUACACCUUGAGGUUUCAAAGUCAUAUAGGCUUUGCCUGGUUUGGAUUUACUCACUCCGGAGAGCUCCUUAGGGUAGGGAACACGUUUCCAUUGAUUGGUGUUUUGAAUACUCUCUGGUAUACAGACUUGGCCAUCUCAAAGCAGAGGCUGCUCAGUUGUGAGCCUCAUUUGUGAGGCUGCUCGUUGUGAGGAGGAAGCAGGCUUACAAACUUUACUCACUGUGUCUGCUCCAGCCAGUUCAGGAGAGCCCAGCCAACUAAUUCUUCAGCUUGUCUGAAGUCCUAACUCUUUUUGGAUACACUUUCCCAUUUCCAGGCCUUUGAUUGUUCCUUCAUGGGUGUGUAUCUACCUGGGCUUCUCAGAAGACUAAUAUGAUAUCCCUAAAUUGCUCUGUUUAGAUUCAUUUAAGAAUCAGUCACCAUGGAAUGCCACUCACAUCGAACCACCCACCUGAGUUUUUUCUUGACUGGGAAUCUCUGAUCUCCUUUAGUGGUAUUUCUUUUUUCUAACUGCAGGAAUUAAGUUUAAUCUCUGUUACAUGUCAUUUCCUUAUUCAUAUCCCAUCUCUCUAUCUUGUCAAGAUACUUUUGAAGGGGUUUCAUCAUCCUGUACAUUAUAUCAUCCUGCACAUUAGACAAUUAUACAUUGUUAUUAAACACACAUGGAGUUGAUAUAACUACUGGAAAUGGAGAUAGACACAAAGCCUUCUCCAUGGCUCUCAGGUUCCAAAUUACAUUUGCUGAGAGACAACUUGCUGAGAAGAAACAGACUCAUAAAAUCUAGGACAUCACUCAGGGAACUAACAAUCCAGAAUCAGACGUACCAGUUUUCCAUGAUGUAUUUGAAGAAUUCCAGACUUUGAGAGGUUAAAGUCACUAGGCUAAGAGGACUGGGAUUUUUCUUCUUCACAGACAGGCCUGACUUCAAGUCUAACCAGCUCUGCAGGAUUCCUCGGUCUGCAUUCUUUCUUGUUCAUUUAUUGUCAGAUCUCUGACUGAAACAAUCCAACAAACAUAAGAACCUCAACAAAGGACAAGGCUGCAAAGCAGGCCAGGAUUGCAGAUGUCAUCUCUGUACUGACCGCCCUGUGUGUCACCAUAUGCUACAUCGACAUGCUCUUCCUGAUCCUUUUCUCAUGGUUUUUUAUUAGUUCGACAUUCAGUCAGUGUUGCUGAUCCUAUCCCGAUCCCCAGGGAUUUCAUUGAUUGGUGAGGAUGAGAGCUGGUUUCUGAUGGGCCCACUUCAAAUAAGAUAGGGCAUUCCAGGUGGUGUGACUUCAAAACUGCUAUGCACAUGUCAGAUGAGUAAGCCUCCAUGUCGUGUUUAAGAGGGGAUAAUCACAGAUUCUGCUUCAUUGGAUUACGAUGAUAUUAUGAGUGAAUAUCUCCUCUCCAUCUUGCUCAUGAUAUGUUACAAAAUUUCUGUCUUCUAUUCUUGUUUCAUAAAGUUACGAUAAAAUCUUUCAAAUACAGAAAACUACUAGAAACAAUCAACCAAGACAAUGUAGUCAGACCUAUAUUUGGCCAGCAUGUUGUUUUUAGGAUGUGAGGGACCGAAGAGUAGCUAUUUAGCUUCUUGUUCAUAUUGUGCAAAAAUCUAAGGUCUAACAGGCAAUAAAUUGCAGCCCUUCUUGUCCCCAUUCUACAUUUGUUAUCAAUCACCCUUUCUACUCACCAGAGUGUGUAGCCUUUCCUGCUUGGGUUCUAUACAGUGACCUGGUAGGCUGUCUCACUGGACAAUGGGACAGAGAUGCUCUAUAGGAAGGCCUUUGCUCCUUUCUGGCAUGUUGUAGAAGCCUCAGUUCCUGUUGUUCUACCUUAGCUUCGCAUUUCCCCAUCAACUCUUGCUGUCUAUUUUUCUCCUCUCCCUUUCCGGGUUACCUGUCCCAGAGACAACAGCAGCAGCUGUCAAGAGCUGUCUUCCUGUCUGCCUGCCUGGCUUCAAGUUUGGUUCUGUUACUUGUUGGCCAGGUGGCUGUGGGAAGCUACUUUACAUAUUUGUCAUCUGUGACAUCUGAGAGGUAAUAAUCUCAACACCCUCCUGGAACUGUGAUGAAGGUCAAAGGGGUUAAUGCAGCCCAAGUGCUUAAAAUGGAGUCUGUGUAAGUUAGAGUCUAUGCAAAUACCCAUUAACAUUUUUAUUACUUGUUCAGUCUCCUGUUUGUUCCUCAUAGUCUGUGGCCAUGCAACCAUGGUUUAAUUAAUGCUCUCUGAUUGAUGUAACCCAGUCUCCAUAAUGAGACUAACCAAUUCUUAUCACUUGUAAGGGGCGUGAGCUAUUCUCUCUUUAGAAUCCAGCAAACCCCAAGAAGCUUCCAGCCUUUUGUUCUCAGUUUACCCAGUAGUUUGGGAAUCUCAUUAAGUAAACAGUCAAGUGAGAGGCCUUGCUGGCUUGACUCUAGGUUGCUCUUUUCAAGUGGGUAGUGAUGAACCAGCCUGCCUCCAUCUUUAAAAGCCAUCUUAUGGUAGGGACAAAGUAGGUUCAUUCCUCUUUAUGUUUAAGCCUCUGUUUCUCUGGGCUAUGCCCCACCUGCAACCUUAACUACAAAUGUCUCUGAAUUGCCUCUUCCUGGAAAUGUUGACCAUGCCUUUGUUUCAAAAGUUAUUAUGUCCCCUGUUGUCAUGACCAUCUAUUGUUAUGACUACCUUACUAUCAAUUAUGUUUUUGUUUCAUAAACUUGUAAUGACCACCUUGCAACCCUCCUACCUUUGUUUCAAAAGGUUGUUAUAACUACUUUGUUUUGACCACCUUGUUGUGUUUUGCUUCUGUAACCCCAUCCAUUUUGCCUAUCAACGCCCCCAUUUGGAAAUCCCCUACCCUUGGGCUAUAAAAACUUUGCCUUCCUCACAUCCAAUGCUGACCUGUUGAAUGCCACUGCUGGGACCUCUCCAACCUGCCUUAGGGGAAGCAGCACGUGUACAUGAGUAAAAAAGUGAGAUUUAAUUAAUUGCUUGCUUCAAUUAAUUUGGCCAUGAUGAUUUGGGUCAGUGGUCUUUCUCCUCUCAUCUUUGGGAUGAACAAUGGGCCACCUUGGUAAAGACUGGUUUAAGUGGUUUAAGCUGUGUUUUUCAGAAAACUUGCCUAGCUCAAAUUGGUUGAAGCCCUGUGUUUUGGGUCUGCACAAGCGAUUGAUAGGCAACCUUCUGACAUCAAGAGGUCCAAGACUCCACCCACGGAUCACACUCUCAGGGACAUUUUUGGAACAUGUAUUCCUUGAAAAGCUAUGAAGACAGUGCAGACAUGUGCAAGCUACUGAUCUCUUUAUCUCUCUGUACUUCUGCCUACCUUCCCUCAUACCCUGAAUACCCUGUUUCAUUAUGAAAACCCCUAAACCUUAUCCUGGGGAGGUACAUAUAAGAGGUUCCUUUCCCUUAUGUCUAGUUGCCUUGUGAGUAAAUUAAAUUUUGGAAAAACUUG
rnacentral:sRNA from 1 species